GUACGAGAGGGGAGACCAGCAGGGUGUGUGCUGUGUUUUUUUUCGUAUGUGCAUAUAAAGAUAGAAAGAAGUGUCUACGGAACACAUGCAGAACACGCCACCAGGCACCGCCGGUCCCCCGGCCGUGCCGCAGUCCAGCCCAGGGCUCCCCCGCUCCCCGUGGGACCGCGGCGGCCACCUCCAGUGCAGAUGUGCCUCCCACCCCCCCCACCAGGAUCUCUCCUCUGGACUUAGAGAGAAGAGGAAAAGGCAGAUUUUGAGAAAUGAAAAUUAUUUUAAGGAUGUCCCUGCUGCCUCUCUCUGCUGCCCUCCUCUGUAACACUGAAGCACUUGCAAAAAAUAAUACAAAGUAAAUAAAUGAUGAAAAAAAAAAAACAACAACCCACGAAACUCUUUUGGACAGAAGAGCUGGCGAGAAGCAAUCAAAGACCCUUCUAGGCUCUUUGGAGGAAACACACAGGCCCCCGGUUUGGGGGAGGCUACUAAUGGUUAUUGUUCCUAAUCUGCACUCCCCAGCCAGGGGCAGGAGCCCCCUGCCCAAACUGGCCCCGACCCACCUCACCACGGGCUGGCAAAGGACUCGCGUUACAAGGUACCCAACACGGCUUUUCCUGGGGCUCCGCAUUCAGCAGAGGCAGUUGGGAAUGAGUUUUCUCAUGCAAGGUCCAUCGAUGUAAAUCAGAUGCCGAGUCCGCUCAGCCAGCUCCAUCAGGGGAGGGGACUUUUGCAUGUGGAUAAAACCUGCGUCCCGGUACCCCCACCGAGCUGGGACCCAGCCACGGAGCACACCCCAAGGUGACCAGCAGGUCCCUCUUGUCCACACCAGGACACAGCAAACCUCUCAUCUCCACGGGAUUUCACGGGCAGGUGACACAUCUGCAACCCCAGACAGCCAAGAGGCUGCAGCAAAAGUUUUAAAGAAUGGAGACGGCGGUGCUGGGCAAAGCAGAGACCUUCUCAGGAGAAGAGGUACCAACACCUAGAUACGUGGUUACAGCGAUGCUUGAUACUCUCAUUUACAAGAAUGAUCAAAGAAACCUCCUUAAAUCUGGAACAAAGCAAAUGGAAUAAAGGCUAAAACUGAAUGAGCUGGUUAUUGUAAACAGCAGUAUUAUACUUAUUUGUUUCUCAUCUCCUAUGCACCAGCUUUAGUCCACUGAAUAGCUACGGAAUUCACUGGCAUUAUUCCUAAUUUUACAAUGAUUUGGGAGAAGAGGGGACAAAGGCAAGCAAACAAAGCUAAUUGCCUUCAGUGUUUUGUUUAUCUAGCUUUUGUUCGGCCAAACAAAGAGGACGCUCAGGUUCAAGCUGACUGUGGAGCCACAGAACUGUCUCCCGGCUGCUGGAAAACACUUUGCAAUUCUGGCAUCCAGCAUCUUCAGCAACUACAACUAGCAAGUACUUUCUUACCUCCAUCUGGUCACUAUAGAAACUCCGGUGACUUCAGCCACUAUUACUACAGCUUGGUGGACCUUGCAGAGUCCCUCCAAAGGAGCAGGAAAGUCCCCCGAGAGCCAAUGCCUUGGUCAUAAAAAGAACAAAGCCAGGAGAUUAAUCACUGGAUGUUAUUUCCAAUGCAAAAGUCCAAGCAGGAAAAGUCUCAAUUUUAAUAACAAAGCUAUGCACUCUCGCCCAUCCAUACCAACACGCUUUUGUUCUUUGUGCCAGAAAAGAACACACUGAGCAGAAAUGUAAAUAAUAUGGCACGCUAUGCAGAGAGAGCAUGCUGCUGGCAACAGGCAGUGGAACACGGACUACAUGAACCACAACCAACCAGUCUGGCCGGCUUUGGUUGCUGUCUCUGUGUCAGCCAAGCAUCUAAAAUUUCCCAGCACAGUCUGAGCAAAGCAGCAGGACUCCCAGGCAUCAAGCAGAGGAGCAACAAGGAAAAGGGAGUCUGGGAAUCAUAGAAUAUUUUGGGCUGGAAGGGACCUUCAAAGCUCCCCCAGUGCCCCCCCUGCCAUGAGCAGGGACAUCUUCACCAGCUCAGGUUGCUCGGAGCCCCGUCCAGCCUGUCCUGGGAUGUCUCCAGGGAUGGUUCAUCCACCACCUCUCUGGGCCAGGCUCUCACCACCCUCAGUGUGAAAAAUUUCCUCCUCAUGUCCAGCCUGAAUCUCCCUCCUUUAGUUUAAAACCAUUGCCCCUUUAGUACAUGUUCCCCACCCUUGCUGUGCCCACUGUCUUGAACACCCUUCUCAAAUGAGAUUUUACAAUAAAGUUUUAAUGCUUCAAGCAUUGCAGGUUUGGGAACAGUUCUUAAAGUUAGGUUCCUGAAUGCUUUUAUGUUUCUUGAGUAGAAUGGGCUACCCUGUAGCACUAAGUGGAGGCUGGAUUUGGAUGAGCCUUGUCCAGUGUCCAGGACAGACAUGCACAGGGUGUCUGACCAGCUCAGGGCUUGUUGCUCAGUAACCGCAGCU